rnacentral:rRNA from 1 species
GACGAACGCUGGCGGCGUGCUUAACACAUGCAAGUCGAGCGAGGCCCUUCCUUCGGGAAGGUGCCCUAGCGGCGAACGGGUGAGUAACACGUGGGCAACCUGCCCCUAGCACUGGGAUAACUCCGGGAAACCGGGGCUAAUACCGGAUAUGACCUUGGAGGGCAUCCUCCUUGGUGUAAAGGAUUCUGGCUAGGGAUGGGCCCGCGGCCUAUCAGCUUGUUGGUGGGGUAACGGCCUACCAAGGCGACGACGGGUAGCCGGCCUGAGAGGGCGACCGGCCACACUGGGACUGAGACACGGCCCAGACUCCUACGGGAGGCAGCAGUGGGGAAUAUUGCACAAUGGGCGAAAGCCUGAUGCAGCGACGCCGCGUGAGGGAUGACGGCCUUCGGGUUGUAAACCUCUUUCAGCAGGGACGAAGCGAAAGUG